AUACGGAGGAUCCGAGCGUUAUCCGGAUUUAUUGGGUUUAAAGGGUGCGCAGGCGGCCAUUUAAGUCAGCGGUUAAAUCGUGGGGCUCAACCCCAUUCUGCCGUUGAUACUGGGUGGCUUGAUUGCGGUCGAGGUUGGCGGAAUUCGUUGUGUAGCGGUGAAAUGCAUAGAUAUGACGAAGAACACCGAUUGCGUAGGCAGCUGACCAGGCCGCAAAUGACGCUCAUGCACGAAAGUGCGGGGAUCGAACAGGAUUAGAUACCCUGGUAGUCCGCACAGUAAACGAUGAAUACUUGUUUUCGGCGAUAUAAUGUCGGAGGCAAAGCGAAAGCGAUAAGUAUUCCACCUGGGGAGUACGCCGGCAACGGUGAAACUCAAAGGAAUUGGCGGGG
rnacentral:rRNA from 1 species